GCCUCCUAGGAUCGAUCCUGCACCCGGAGCAACCUGCCCAGCCUGGCGCAUCCCAUGCGAGCGGGGCCGUGGGGACGGUGUCACCGCCCUGGGCGUCUCCGCUGGCCGCGGCCGCUGUCCUCCCGCGCCUCGCAGAGGGAUGACAAAGAGGAAAACAAUAACCGAAGCCACCGCGCCUUCCCCUGGUGCUCCCUCUGCACUCGCUGGGGCCGAGCGGGGAUAUAACGGGAACAUGAUUUCACUGCCGUGAUGCCACGGGGCGGUGUUGUGCAGCCGCUCGAGCUGGAAAAAGGGGAAAACCUGGCUGUUUGCGUGGUUCCGCCACGAGGAGGGCCGUGGUGGGCUUGCUGUGCUGGAGGACACCGGAGCCUUUCACCUGGGGCAAGGGCAAACUUUGCCCCAAAGAGAUCGGGGACAAGACCUCAAGAUGACCACAGGUGGAUAGGAGGCGGUUUUCACCCUUUGCCUUUUAACUGCCCGAUUAGCAGAAUGGGCAGCCACCAGCCUCACCCCGUGUCACGUCCCGCCGUGGCCACCCAGCGCUGCUCUCACCUCGAUGCCACGUGUUUGCUGCCUUCGGAGGCUGUCUUUGACCUUUUGGGGGAAAAAGGUCAAGGAAGGUGAAAGGUCAAAAGCUUUGUUUGUUCUUCUGGCUCUCAGUGGGGUUUGAAGAGACACGGAGAGAAUCGGAUAGUUCAGGCGUGCAAGGACGAGUUCAGGUGUCCAGCCCUGGCAACACUUGGAAGAUUUUCUUGCCUCGUUUCUUAUCCAAAAUGCAACAGGGACCUCCAUGCAGUCUGAGCUCUCUGCAUCCCACGCUGAUGGGUUUCUUGGCCUUGGUGCUGUGUUUAAAUCCCUCAUCUUCCCCUUCCAGCCUCUACACGAGGCCACCUGGCCACCUCCUGCUGGGGUCUGCUGCUCCAUGUCCCCUCCAGGUGACAUCUCCCUCACCCACCUUCCUCCUGGUGCUUCCUGAGACUUUGUGAACACCUGGAGUAGGAGUUGGGGGAGUCUCCCAUUGAUGUCUGUGAUGCUAAUUUAAAGCUUUCCAUCCUUCUCCAUGCCCUGCUCCCCUGCUCCUGCAGUGGGAUGUGCUCUUGCACAUCUCCCGGAGCUCAGGCUCUGCUCUGUGCUGCUCACAGCUUGAAGCAUGAGCUCACGGAAAGAGAAAGGCAUCGGCUGUGCUGUACGUGGCCCAGAGCGUGCCAGAGGAACGCCAGGAGCCCAUGCACAGCUUAUUUUUUUGUGAGGCUUUACGUGCUGUGGAGGCAGGCACUCUGCCGAGAGUCACCGCUGCUGAGACAAAGCUCCAUCAAAAGCACCAGCUGCUGCUUUGCCCAUAAAUCCAUCCCUGCCUUGGAUGAACACGUUGAUCCAUUUAUCUCUGCACAGAGGUGCAUAGAGCAGCAGUCUGCCAACACCGCCGGGCACGAUGCAACACGGGGAUGUUCUUCAAACCAUCGCUGGCUCCCCAAACGGAAGGGCCGGGUGCCAUUGCCCAGCUCCGUGUUGCAGCAUCUCCUCCUAUCCCAGUUAGGAGAGGGCUCCCGGGAUUCACAGUGUGCUGCAGUGCCUCCGGCCCACGCAGUGUCUCGUGUCUGCUUUAGCGCUGGCCGGGCAGCAGCUGCGGAAGCCGGGGCUGCUGAGAGGCUCCAUACAGCCACACCGGGCUCGGCGCUGCUCUGCUGGUGGCUGGCACACAGGGCAGGACUUCUGCAGCCACACUUGUAAUGGCUGUUGAUGCUUUUGCAUGGAAAGGUGUUGCUGCCCUGCGCCUCCUUUGCACGAGCCGGGCUACCAGUGCGUACUGGUGGAGAUGUGGAGGGUUUCCAGGCCCCCGUGGAGAACCUGGAUCCUCCUCCCAAGUCCUCCACUUGCAGCCCGGAGUGUAGACGUGGCUGCUGGCGCCUUCCCCUCCCUCGGAAAGAAGUUGCCAUCACACCAUGGAAACCAAAGCCAGGGGUAGGGAGAGCUUUGCUGGAGCCGGGCAGGCAGAUCAGGACAGCACAGCGCCGAGGCUGGGAACGGCACGGGAAGGAUGUGCCCAACUUCAAGCCCUGCCCAGGGGAUGAGCCACAGCACGCCGAGGGCUGCCGUCGGCUCUGACGGGGAGGAUUUGUCACAGCUCAAGGGAUGGAAAUGCUUUGUCGCUGUAUGGAAGCAGCUGGAGGGAUCGGGGGCAACAACUGCUGGGUCCAAGGCAGAGGUGCAGGCACUCGGGGAGAGCUGCUCCUUCCUGCAGCCACCUGCUCCCAACAAAUCAAAGCAGACACCCAAGACCAUUGCCAUUACUUUAUUACCCUCGUUAUUUACUUAUAUUCUUGGAUGCCAAAGGCACACAUUUAGACAAGAGACCUUGCAUUCCUCUGGACCUGGCAGUGCCACCAGCCUUUAAUCACAGCUUCAGCAUUGACCCUUUUGCAGGAAGUAGUCUGCCUCAGCUCCCUGCCUCAGUUUCCCCCAACACCAGACCUUGUACAACUGUUCCCACCAGGACAGUGCUGAGCUGCCCUCACUACCAAAGUGCUUUCCCUCCGGUAGGUCCAUCUGGACCACAGCAGCAUCUCACCACGCUCCUUUUCCUUGCCUGGUGACACCUCCCCAACACGAUGUGAGCACCACGAGGCGAGCAGGCAGCUGCAGAGCGGGUCCAGCCCACGCGAGGUGCGACCACCUCACCUCUGCAGGCACUGUCUCGCUGGAUCCCUCUUGCCAUGCACACACCGAGCUUCCCUUAUUAAAAGCAACAUACGCUGUAAAUGCAUGACACAUCCCACAUC